UAAAAAAGUAGUAAAUGUAUGGCGGCGCAAUGUUGCGCUAAAUUGGUAAAUCAGCUGAGUUAAAGUAUACUCCUUGCUUGUUGGUGUGUCAGAGGAACCAUAUGAUAUUGCAGUCAUAUGAGAGAGGGCCCGGAAAACUCCAAAAGAAUACUUCUCCCCCACUGUGGCAUUCUGACAAUGACACAAAAUAAAGAGUUGAUAUUUGUCCUAUAUGUUACAAGCACAAACUGUUUAAAAUAUGAACACAUGCACACCAUUAAUUUCUCUCUUCUAACCCAGCAGUCCGAUGGGAACUCUUCAAGCAUAGGUACAAAAUACUGAAUACAGCCAUUCCAAUGACACAGGAGGAAAAUCAUCAUAAAUAAAGACAAGAUCCGCAGGAAUAACCUCAUCACUUCCAGACGGGACACACGCAGCAGACGGACAAGACUGAGGAUUCUCACGAACAUCAGGAUGCGCAUCAUUUUGUUUGCUCUGGAUGAUGGAGAAUCACCACGGUACUGCAGACCCUGCAAUGACAACAAGUGCAGUUCUCACAAGACAGUUCACCUUGAAACAGUGUAAUUGAUUAAAGCCAGUGUACGGUAAAACAAGAUGCAAUACCGCAAAUAGUAAUAUGUAUCCAACUGGGAAUGCUGCCACCAUAUCAGCCACCUCACUGCCGUAGACAUAAAGCGAGCGUCUGUUCAACUGCGGUAGCAGCAAGUUCCUCCAUCCGCUCCAGUGGAAGCGUCUGUGAUUCUCAGGUGUGAGACUCUCCAUAUCCAGGCCCUGACUAAGC